rnacentral:rRNA from 1 species
ACAUGCAAGUCGAACGAGAAGAGAUGAGAAGCUUGCUUCUUAUUGAUUCGAGUGGCAAACGGGUGAGUAACGCGUAAGCAACCUGCCCUUCAGAUGGGGACAACAGCUGGAAACGGCUGCUAAUACCGUAUGAGGUCAUACGAUGGCAUCAGAAUAUGACGAAAGGUUUAGCGGUGAAGGAUGGGGAUGCGUCUGAUUAGCUUGUUGGUGAGGUAACGGCUCACCAAGGCGACGAUCAGUAGGGGUUCUGAGAGGAAGGUCCCCCACAUUGGAACUGAGACACGGCCCAGACUCCUACGGGAGGCAGCAGUGGGGAAUAUUGCACAAUGGGCGAAAGCCUGAUGCAGCAACGCCGCGUGAGGGAAGACGGUUUUCGGAUUGUAAACCUCUGUUUUCGGUGACGAACAAAUGACGGUAACCGAGUAGGAAGCCACGGCUAACUACGUG